CGAUUUCCUUUGAUUUCAUUUUAAAUAAAUAUUUAGAGUGCCCAGGUAGCACAUAAACAAUGCAAUUUAACGGUUUUCUUAAAGUAGGAACGUUUAACCUGUGCGGCCAGAGCGCUCUCCUUCCUUCUGCUCUGCGUAAACCUGAACUGGUCACCUACUUGUGCGUAAUCAAAUGUCUAUAGGGGAAAAUAUGGAAAAGCCAUGAGGUUCACUUUUGCCUCAGACCGACUUAUUGCUGUUUUAUGGUGUGGCUGGAUCUGCGAUCCGCUGCCACGCGGACUGGAACAACAAAUGCUGCAACAGGGAUUGUAGUCAGGUUCGGAGUCACUGCUGGAGCGGACCCGACUUUAAUACGUCAUCCCAAAAUAGAAGCUAAUAUCUUAAUUUGACCUGGAAUGAAAAAUGUUAUAAAACCUCUUAAAAGUUUUUAUCACAGAGGAGGCAGCACUCAUUUCUGGGGUGCCGGAGUUUGCGCAGCGUGCGCUCUUAUUGAAUCUGCGUGUGUGUGUGUGUGUGUGUGCGCGCGCGCGGCACAGCUCCAUGAGCCGCUCCAGUCACCGCGCCUCGUUAUUGGCGCUAUUAAAACCAAUGUUGUAAAAUGACUUCUGCCCAGCCCAGAUGUGCUCACUUGUGCACCCGUGCCGUGGUUCCGCUGGCACGUGUCUGACCUCUGACAGACGCACUCUGAACUUCAGAUCUCCGGCACGCUGUUAAUAGCCUGAAUGGGAAUCAUUUCUUGAUUUAUUUUGUUACGUCCACAAUGUUCUGUGUGUGAGGUUUACAAUGUCAGAACACCUGCAUGAGACAGGUGUUAAUUACAAUCUGCCAGAAUGACUCACCACCUUCAGAUUCCUCCAACACCGUUAAAAAUGAUCAAAUACGGAACAUAUCGGCGUGCGCAGGCCAGAGUGCUGAAGCUCGGCGCAUUGUUAUUAUGAAGCUAGGCCACAUGGAGGACACGCGCGCGCGACGGAACAUAUCGGCGUGCGCAGGCCAGAGUGCUGAAGCUCGGCGCAUUGUUAUUAUGAAGCAAGGGCACAUGUGGAGGACACACAUGUGCGCGCAAAAAUAUACUUGUUUUCAAUUAUAUUUAUUGUGCCCACUUACGUUUUCUUAGGCCCACCCACAAAUGAGUUUCUACAAUAAUGGUGACAUAUGACAGACUUCUCUGAGCUCCGCAGCCAUUACACUUUUCACCUCGCGCACCCCCUAGCGGCAGCUCCCCCGGGGGUGCGCGCACCACACUUUGGGAAUCCCUGCUCUAGGUGAUCCAGAGAGGCUUGACCUUUGGGUGAGCAACCAAAGAAGAGAGUGCUGGACUCCCAAUUCAUUCUCCCGCUUGUGCAGUGAACAUUUUGAGAGUAAUCACUUCACCACGGACUCCAGGGUACAAACACAUUACUUCAUAUUUUGGUUGAGAUUUAAAAAAUUGAAGCAUUAGCUGUAUAAUAUACCGAUGUUACAUGCUGUGUAACUAGAAGAAAAUCUUCCCCACCCUUGAAUUGUCUGUGACUAGGGCUGUUUAGAUGGGAAACAAUCAUGUUAUUAAUUUCCAUCUAAUUCUAUGGUUAAUUACUCAGAGAAACAAUUUAAUUUUUGGACAGUCUUUAAAGGCACAGUCUGCAACAUUUAAAUGUAGAAUAACUUUAAAAAUGUUUGAUUUUGACCAUCUGACCCAAUUUUAUUAAAAAAAGUAAAUAAUCUUUAAUAUUUCAAUUUUCUCCUAAGUCCCUCCCCUGCCCUGUAGAGCUCAGCCAAUAUUUCUGCAAGCCUAACGCGUUGACCAAUAGCGCUGCGUUUCCAUCAGGGGGCAGCUGUCAAUCAUCAAGCACGAGCAGGUCUCAGGUGCACAACAGUGUCACGCGCCUCACUCGGCUUACUGCAGAGAAACAUGGAGCAACAAAACCCCAAAUUACAGAUUCCUCGACUGCCUUCCACAUCUCAAAAAACAUUUAAAAAGUUUAAAAGCCCUUCUUCAAAAGUGGCUGUAAGACGUUUAAGACAGCCGUGUAGAAUUUACAUUGGAGAUUGUUUUACACACGAUGGAGAGAUUUUCGUGAUCUACACGGCCUGAAAACGGAUGAAGAGUUGGCAAAGUAUCUUUUAGACAGUCAUCAGUCCAAAUAUGAAGCAUCAACAUCUACACCAUUGAAACGCCAACUGUGUAUUUCUCCAACACCAGUGCCAGCUCUGUCUAGCAUUCAUGGAGAAUCAUCUGAAAGGUAAAUAGCUGCGUAAAAACCUAUACCAGGAAUAUUAUAAUUUUGCCUCUGUUUGUUUUAGGUUAGUGGUGGAUUAUUUUGAAAAAAUUUUAGAAAUGGGAUAAUGAAUGACUAUAAAAAAUAUAUAGAAAUAAAUAGUAAAACUACAUUUUAUAUAGCGCCUCUCAAGAUAAAACUCUUGAGGCACUUCACAACAACAAAAUUAAACAUAUUUUAAAAAAUUAUAUUUUUAUUUCAAAGUUUAUAAAAAAAAAAUAACACAAUUGUGUUUUUAAAAUGUAAAGAGAGAGACAGGAAAUUAUUUGUAAAGAAGGAAUUCAGUGGAUACAGAGAAAUGCGUAAUAAGUAGAGUGAGAAAAAUAAGGAGAGGGUGAUGAUGACGGCCAAUAGACGAGGUCUAUUACCUUCAAAAUGACAAAAUAUGUAUUGAUUCUAAUCAUAUUCUUGUGCUUGUAUUUUAUUUUCAUAGGGAUGAUAAUUUGGAGGAGGAGAUGGAACAAGGUGAAACUAAAAAAGAAGGAUCUUCACAAAUGUUAUCUUGUGUGGGAAUUGAAGCAAACAUUGACAAGGAAGAGUUCAACAAUAUUCAAAACUCUGUGUAAGUAUUCAGAUGUUAAUAAAAU